GCGCGCACGCCCGCCCCGCCGUGGCCGCGGAGGACUGAAAGGUGCCGCGGUGAGGAGCAGCGGCCGCGGACACCGUCGUCGCCGGCACUGCCGCUCCGCAGCCUCCCGCCGCUGGUUAGUCAGCCCCGCGGCUGCGGGCGGGCAGGCGGGCAGGCAGGCCGGGCGCGCUCCGCGGCUUGUCCCUCACCGUCGUCCCCGCGUCCUCCCUCCGCAGCUCCUCGGGGAGGGGGGCGGUCGGUGCCUGCGCAGAGCCGCCUCCUCCCCGCCCCCGCCCCGCCUCCCCCCGCGCCGCCGCCGCCGCCCGCUGCCGCCGCCGCUGCGCCUGCUGCUCCUCGCCGUCCCCGCUGCAGUGCGAAGGGCUCGAAGAUGGCCGGUUGGCAGAGCUACGUGGAUAACCUGAUGUGCGAUGGCUGCUGCCAGGAGGCCGCCAUUGUCGGCUACUGCGACGCCAAAUACGUCUGGGCAGCCACGGCCGGGGGCGUCUUCCAGAGCAUUACGCCAGUAGAAAUAGAUAUGAUUGUAGGAAAAGACCGGGAAGGUUUCUUUACCAACGGUUUGACUCUUGGCGCAAAGAAGUGCUCAGUGAUCAGAGAUAGCCUAUACGUCGAUGGUGACUGCACAAUGGACAUCCGGACAAAGAGUCAAGGUGGGGAGCCAACAUACAACGUUGCUGUCGGCAGAGCUGGUAGAGGUAUUUCUGAAGGCAAAAUAUCAAGAUAAAUUCAUCUCUGGGUGCCCAUCAAACGGUUCUAGUUACCAUUAGAGGAGGUAAUCUGGUGGAUAAAGGCCUCAGUCUUCUUCAGAGGGACGAUUCUGAAGCACAUGGCUCCUCAGAGGGACUCUGGGGGAUGGAGACCCUGCCGUCCACAGAGGCCCCUAGAAGAUCAAGAUUUGCAACACCCUUCCAGAGCCAACAUCAACAAACUCAAAUUAUGUAUAUCCCUAAGUAGUUGCGUGUUCUAAUCCAGUAGUUAUUUUUCUUUUCCCUCAUAUAAAAGAAAUUAAACAAAAAACUUGAGCAGCUUCAGGCACCCUUGGAGUUAAAGUGGAGGAUGCACUGGGCCUACAUUACUUUUACAUAUAGCAGAAUUACUUCUAGAUACUUUUUUUUUUUUUUAACGUUUUUUCAUUUUUGAGAGAUGGAGAGGGACAGAGCAUGAAUGGGGGAGGGUCAGAAAGAGAGGGAGACAGAAUCUUAAGCAGGCUCCAGGCUGUCAGCACAGAGCCUGAUGCAGGGCUCGAACCCACAGACCGUGAGAUAGUGACCUGUGCUGAAGUUGGACGCUUAACCGACUGAGCCACCCAGGCACCCCACCUCUAGAUACUUUUGCCUAUCAACUAGAUUGGUCCAAUAUUUAAUUACAACCCUCAGUGCAGCAAAAGUGACUUAAAAAAAUCAUACGUUAAAUGUUCUUCUAAAAAGUGCAUAGUUAUAAGAACAGAAAUAUAAAUAGGUAAUUUACCUGGUUAUUGUAGAAUAUGAUAAAGUAAGUAUUCUCAUAUACUGCUGGUAGACCUGAAACUUUGGGAAAUUAGUUUCACCUCAAAAAAAAAAAAAAUUCUUUCUCUUUGACAUAGUAAAUUAGGAAGGAGGUUAAGUGCAGCUGGGGGUGGGGAGAGGACAAGAAAAGAGGAAUGGGAAGGAUUAAAGUCAGGAGACAACUUAUUUUAUUUUGAAAUGGUAGUAACUGAAGAGUAAAGAUAGGGUAGGUAGUAUUUACAAGUACAGUGUCAGAAGUCAAGAAUUUGCAUUGCAGCCCUGAUAUAUAAUGUUUACCUGGCUUUGCACCCUCAGGUAUUAUACGUAAUCUGUCUGAGUCUCAUUUUCCUUAUAAAUGGUCAUGACAGUACUUUCCUUAGUUGGUUGUUCCGAGAACUAAAUGAUGCAGAGUACAUGAUUUGCUUGCUUUUAUGUAAUAGGUGUGAUACAUGCUUGCAAGAUCUAAAAUAGAAAAUUACCAGAUUUUUAUUGGGUGCAAUGCCCAUCCCAAGUCAGUUUAAUUCCAGUUAACUCACUUGGUAUAAAGUACACUGACUUCUUCAGUUACAGGUUAAUGGACUGAAGGUGUAGUUCUAGUAAUCAGAGCUACGGGCCAAUGAUAAAGAUCAAGAGUACUAUGAUACAAACCAACCUACAGGGUCUCAAUCCCCUUCAGUCCACCUCAAAGCUACAAUGCAGACCUUGAGAUCUCUAUUCCUGGACAUGAAAUAAUAAAAUAGUUCACCCUCAGGUAACUCAAGAAUGCACUGAUUUCUCAGAAGCCAUAGGCAUGACAGUAACUCCUACCCAACUUGGAACCUCAUUAUUUUACUGCUUUGUGGCCAUUAUGUAAGUAAGUACUCUGUUAGAGGAACAGAGAAAUAUUUUCUUUUCUGAUUUGGUUUUUAAGAGUAAAUUCAGAACAGGUUUCCCCUGAAACAGUUCAACACAGAAUAUUAACUAGCAUUAGUUAUAGAUUCUUAGCUUUGUGAAGAGAUGGACUGUCUUUUACUCACCAUUAUAUCCCCAGUGUUCAUAUAGUGCUUAUUACAGACUGGGCUCCCAAUAAAUACAUGCUAAAUAACAAAUACCACAAAGCCUUUGUUCAUUUCAUGAUGGCUGGUUAAACGGGCAGCAUCUGCCUCUCACCUGGUACAUCCCAUAUGAACUCUCCCUGCUUCACUAUCAAUCCCUAGUCUGUUCUCCAUUCACCAGCAUAAAGGAUCCUUUGCCACAGUACUUUGAGCAGGUCAUUCUAAUGCUCAAAGCCCACCCAAGUUACAGCAUCACGUGAUACAAUCACAAGUCCUUGUCCUGGCACGAUCUAGCUCCCCGUCUAUCUCUGACUUCCUCUCUAAUCACUCUCCCUCCACCCCACUACCAUACUGGCCACAAGCUCUUUACUGUUCCCUGAAUAUGUCACACUGUUGUCUCAAGACCUAUGUAGUUCUCUUCCUCUGGCUGCAGUGUUCUCCCUUUCCCUUCACCCCUGUUUAUUCUCUGUUCAAAGUGUCCUCAGAGAAGUCUUCCCUGUCUUUUCUAAAAUAGUAUCCCAUCUCCUCUCCUAUCACUCAUUUGCUUUUCUUUAUUGCACUUACUGCUAUGUGACUUUAUUUUUUAUUUGUUCAUUUGCCCCCACUAAGCUCCACAAAGGCUGGAUUUUUUUUUCUUUUUUAUUUAUUGCAGCUUCCCUAGCACCUAGAAGAGUGCCUGGCACAGAGUAAAAGUACUCAGUAAAUAUUUAUUGAAGGAAUAUAUGAAUACCCAAGUUAUUCCCAGGAAAUCUUGAUUUCUGCCUCCAAUUGCUCAUCAGAAGACCUAAUCACAUAAAUCUAAGUACAAAAGGCUAAAUAUUUUUAUAUAAUGUACAUAAAUUCUGUAGAUCCUGACUGAUGGAGUAAAGCUGGCCUCAGAUUUUACUAUCCAGGUCCAAUGUUGAAUAUGCCAGCCAGCUCUAAAGACAACAAAAGUACUAUAAAGAUUAUAAUGUUUUGCACAGUGGCAAUAUCUGAUCUUGUGGCUACUGAUCAUCAGAUGGUAUACAAGAAGGAAGAGCUGACUGUACUAGGAGAUACAGGAGAAGGGUUCUUGGAGAGGGACUAGGGUCAGGCCUUCAAGAUAAUCUGGAUUUAGAAAAACUAAGGAGGAAGAUACUAAUGGGAGAAUAACAGUUGAAAAGCGUUUGCAAAGAAGAAAUAAACAUAGCAGAAUCAGUUAUGCAAGGUUAGAGAUAAAGAGCAGUGGAAAAUAAGGUUGGAUGAGUGUGGUGGAGACAAAUUAUGAAAAGCUGUGAAUACUAACAGGACUCUGAAAUGACUUCUUAGGCCAUAGAGAUCAAUUGAAAGCUUUCAAGCAGAGGAAUGACUGAUGUAUGAAAUAGCAUCUUAACAAGUGUUGAUCAGUGUGCUGAAGGGACCCAGGCCUGGGAUACAGAGCUCAGUGAGCCUAAAGACAGUAAGACUGGAUUGUCACUCCCAAGAUUCAAGUAACAAACUGAUGAAGGGCUUGCACGAUACAGUGGUAACAAGAAUGGAUAGAGAUGCUCUGAUCCAAUAAUCAUUUUGAAAGAACAACUCAUUGAAUCUGGGGACUAGGCGUACGUAAUAAAAGAGAGGGGGUAAAUCAAAGAUGAUGUAUGUAAUUUUAAAUGAUGGCUGUUUGCUUAACUUUUAAGUGUUUUAUUUGGCAUUAUUAGGAUACAAGAGGAGCAGGAGAGGGAAUGGAAGCAAAUUAACAGGCUGGCAAUUUCUUUUUUAAAUCAAGAAUGGGGCACCUGGGUGGCUUAGUCAGUUAAGCGUCCGACUUCGGCUCAGGUCAUGAUCUCACAGUCUGUGAGUUCAAGCCCCGCGUUGGGCUCUGUGCUGACAGCUCAGAGCCUGGAGCCUGCUUCAGAUUCUGUGUCUCCCUCUCUCUCUGCCCCUCCCCCAUUCAUGCUCUGUCUCUGUCUCAAAAAUAAACGUUUAAAAACAUUUUUUUUUAAUAAACCAAGAAUGGGUAAGUUAAUUCUAAAUAAUAAAGAGAUGGUUUUAGUGUUUUGUGAUUAUAUUUUAUCCUGAAAUAAUGUGUAACUGUUACUAAAGAUUAAUUAUAGCCUGAACAACAUGUGCAGCUUAUUUAGACCACAGUGUGUCAGAACGCACUCUCUCUGCAAAGGUAGAGUAUCUAGACUUUCUCACUGGAUCACACAUUUUAUUGUAAUAUAAGAAAUGUUGUAUUGUGAUGGGAAAUCUUACUUUCCAUGGAAAUAUAUAUAAAUUACAUUUGCCCUACAUUAGAAAUUCUUUGAAAAUGGGAAUCACAUUUCUGAUCCGUAAGUUUUUUAAAAUGUCCAUUAUAGUAACAGACAUACAUGGACAUUUACAUGGCAAAUAUAGAAUAAGUGCCUGCUCGACACCAUGAAUUAUAUUAAAGCAGAGGUUAAAGGAAGAAUAGGGACUUAGAGGUAAACAAAGCAGGGAUGUAUGGGUGGCACAGGAAGUAGCCCAUGUGGCUAGAAUGUAAGAUGCAAAGAGAAUGGGAUGAGGUGAGGGGUAAAAGGCUCAGACCAUAAGACCCUUAGGCUUAAAGUAGAAGUUUGACUUUAUUCUUACAUAUAAAUGAUUCUCAGAAUAAACCAUGGAGGUUUUCUUGCUGUGUAUCAUUAUGGACAGGGAGUUCCGAUCUCCCAACACCAAACACAGUAGCUGGUCAAAUAUAUGCUGACUAAUGCAGAAGGGAAAACAGUUUGGGACAUAAUUAAGUGUGAAGAUUGUAUAGGUUAUCUAGGCAGAGAUGUCUAUUAGCUAACUGGAGAUAUGGGACUGGCCUGGAGCUUAGAAGAAAGGUCUGGGUAGGACAUAAAAGCAUGGAUGUCAUCUGAAACAGCUCACUAGGAAGAGGCAAGAACUAAGGAGAAGAUAAUCUGAUACAAAGCCCACAGAUCUGUGCCUAGCACACAAAACUCUCAAAUGUUUGCUGUUAAGCAGUGAACCAAAAGAUAAAUGGCAGCAAAGGAGCCUCCUGUUUUACAGAAGAACAAGACUAAAAGUACUGAUGACUGACCAGAAGCAGUGCUACCAAGUGCCUACUCAACCCACGACACGCCAGGACCGAGAAACAGACAUAUAAGAGAAGUUACUGAUGGCAUUGAAUUGCACAUGUAAAGUCUAUGGCAGCAUAAAGCAGACAAAGGUUGAGAAUCUCUGGACCACAGCAUACCUUUUUUACCCCUGGAGGGCAGAAACUGUAACCUAACUUUGUGAAAGUUUCAUUGUUUCUUCCUGAUUGUGGCCAAUAUGGAACCAGUUAAACGUGUGUUUAAUUACUAAAAUGAGUCACACAAGAUGAUCAGCCUGUGAAAGUUUGCUGACAUAAUACUAUUGGAUGGAGAAAAACAUCUUUAAAAAAAAUUCAUAAAAAUAGGUCAUGGAUUAAGAGGCCAAAUGGAGCAAUAUACAUGCAAACAUUUCCCAUAACAGAGUACUAAACAAAUGUGCUUUGUAUGGUUAGAAAACAAUUCUGAGUACUUGAGAGGAAUAACCAUCUAAUAAGACCUAAAGCAGACACUGUCACAUAACAACUUCACAUUUCUUUUUCUUCAGAAGUUAAGACAUCCUGAAUAUAGUUAACAAGAGCCUAGACUUGCUUAGUUCUGGUCUACAAUAAUCUGCACUUGAAAAGUCAUGAUUUUGUCAUUUGUACUUGAAAGUCAUGAUUUUCUUCUCAUAUCUUAGAGGUACUUAGUGCAGGUAUUAUCAGAGGUAGGUUAAGUGGUUAGCUCGAGGUCACACAUCUAGUCAUAAAACCAAGUCUUUUGGUUCCAAAUCUUGUAUUUCCACCAUACCAUUUUGCUGACUUCCUAAAAAUUAACUGCUGACUUGCACACCGCUAUGGGAUUCAUAAGAACUACUCCCACCCCUCCAGUUAUUAUGGCUGUGAUACAAAUUGCCAAAGUUUAUCUGUGGUAGAAGAAAACCCAGGAACCAGCUAUAGGAAAGGAAAUAACUUGUGACUUCAGCGGAAUUUGGGGGCCCUCUAUAAUUCCUAAAAUGGAACAAUUCCUGCAGAAAGAAGAGGUAAUAUAAUGAACAUUGUUCACUGAUUUCUACUGGAUUUCUACUAGAUCCAGUAAGAAUAUGUAGUUCCUUUUUUCUUUUUUAAUGAGAGAAGUUUUCAAACGUGCACAAAAUUAUAAGACGACUUCAUAUUACCAUCACUGAGUUUCAGCAAUUCUCAAUAUACUAUUUUUGUUAGAUCCACCUUCUACUUUUUUCCUUAAGAUUUUGUUUUUGCUUUUUUGUUGUUUUUUUUUUAGAGAAAGAGAAAGCAUGAGUGGGAUAGAGGGGCAGAAGGAGAGAAUCCUAAGCAGGCUCCACGCUCAGCGCGGAGCCUGAUGAAGGGCUCAAUCCCAUGACCCUAGGAUCAUAACCUGAGCUGAAAUCAAGAGUUGGACGCUCAGCCAUCUGAGCCACCCAGCCCUUAAGUAUUUUAAAGCAAACAUUGAGACAUAACAUUUAACAACACAUACUUUAGUAUGUAUCUCUAAACGAUAAGGACAUUAAAAAAACAACCACAGGGCUAUUAUCACAUCUAAAAAAAUGAACUAUUUUCUUAAUAUCAUCCAGUACCCAAGGCAUAUUCAGUUUCCUCAGUUGCCUCAAAACAGAUAAUUUUUUACAGAUAUUUACUCAAACUAGGAUCCAAGCAGCAUCCAAACAUUGCACCUGGUUGGUAACUUGUCUCUUUUAAUCUAAAAAUACCGUGCCCCCAUUGUGUAUCUUAUUUGUUAAAUAAACUCGGUCCUUUGUCCCAUAAA